UGGGAUAGGUCAGUUGGUAGAGCUUGAAACCCUUAAUUUCAGGGUCACGAGUUCAAACUGCACGUUGGGCCAA